GUAGCCAGUGUGGCGCCAGGCCGGUAUCUUCCGCCGCUAUAGGCAGGUGCACCCGAGGGGAGAUCCCUCCUGCGCCUUCCGCCUCGCCCUCUUCUUCCGUGUCCACUGCCACCUCUUCUGAAGCACACAAAUAUCUUUAUAAUAUAUUCACGCAGGGCUGUAGCUCGUCCUCGUCUACACAGUAAUAGAUGAACUCAGCAGUUGGCAAGGCACCAGGGCUCUGAGCCUGCAUCUGGACAAGUCGAUAAGAAAGCAUGAAUGCUCUCCUUUUCAGUGGCAAUGGGAAGUUCAGAUCACACAAUAUCAAUCAACCUGACCUGAUGAGGACCCCACCCUGCUCUCCCCAGAAAGCUUCGCUAUAUGUGACCAUCUAGUUGAAGAAAAACAAGCUCAGGGCUCCCACUGAUUCCACAUUAUGAGCUGGUGAUUUAAAGGAUCCUGGCACCUCCUCCUUCUUCUCCUGCUCCUUCUCUCACCAUAUGGUGCUGACUACUCUUCUUCCACAAUGAUUUUCAGAUUGCUGAGGCCUCGCCAGAAGGUAAACAGAUGUGAGUGUCAUGCUUGUACACCUAGCAAAACUGUGAGCCAAAUAAACCUCUUUUUCUUAUAAAUUACCCAGCCUCAGCAUUCUUUUAUAGCUAUGAAAAAUGGAUUAAUACAAUAUUACAUGGGUAAUAUUUCUAGUCAUGACAGUGACCCAUUACUCUCAC
rnacentral:lncRNA from 1 species